ACGAAACGCUGGCGGCAGGCCUAACACAUGCAAGUCGAACGCCCCGUAGCAAUACGGGAGUGGCGGGACGGGGAGAGAAAACGCGUGGGUAUCUACCUAGCAGUACGGAAUAACCGCGGGAAACUGCGGCUAAUACCGUUAUACGCCCCAAAGGGGGAAAGAAGAUUUUAUCGCUGCUAGAUGAGCCCGCGUCCGAUUAGCUAGUUGGCGGGGGGUAAUGGCCCACCAAGGCCUAUGAUCGGUAGCUGGUCUGAGAGGGACGAUCAGCCUCACUGGGGACUGAGACACGGCCCAGACUCCUACGGGAGGCAGCAGUGGGGAAUAUUGGACAAUGGGGGAAACCCUGAUCCAGCCAUGGCCGCGUGGGUGAUGAAGGCUCUUCGGGUGUUGUAAAGCCCUUUUGGCGGGGACGAUAAUGACGGUACCCGCAGAAAUAAGCCCCGGCUAACUUCGUGCCAGCAGCCGCGGGUAAUACGAAGGGGGCUAGCGUUGUUCGGAAUUACUGGGGCGGUAAAGCGCGCCGUAGGCGGUUUUUCCAAGUCGGGCGUGAAAGCCCCGGGGCUCAACCCGGGAAAAUGCGCUCGAAACUUGAAGACUGGAGGCCGGAAGAGGGUAGUGGAAUUCCCAGUGUAGAGGUGAAAUUCGUAGAUAUUGGGAAGAACACCAGUGGCGAAGGCGGCUACCUGGUCCGGAUCUGACGCUGAGGGCGGACGGGAAAGCGUGGGGGAGCAAACAGGAAUUAGAUAACCCUGGUAGUCCACGCCGUAAACGAUGAGUGCUUGAUGUUGGGGGGGCCUAGCCCUUCAGUGUCGUAGCUAACGUGAUAAGCACUCCGCCUGGGGAGUACGGCCGCAAGGUUUAAAACUCAAAGGAAUUGACGGGGGCCCGCACAAGCGGUGGAGCAUGUGGUUCAAUUCGACGCAACGCGAAGAAACCUUACCAGCUCUUGACAUGGGACGUAUGGGGCCGAGAGAUCGGCUCCUUCAGUUCGGGCUGGCGUCCACACAGGUGCUGCAUGGCUGUCGUCAGCUCGUGUCGUGAGAUGUUGGGUUAAGUCCCGCAACGAGCGCAACCCUCAUCUUCAGUUGCCAUCAGGUCAAGCUGGGCACUCUGAAAGAAACUGCCGGUGGACAAGCCGGAGGAAGGUGGGGGAUGACGUCAAGUCCUCAUGGCCCUUAUGGGCUGGGCUACACACGUGCUACAAUGGCGGAUGACAGUGGGAUGCGACGGAGCGAUCCUGAGCUAAUCCCCAAACGUCGCCUCAGUUCGGAUUGCACUCUGCAACUCGAGUGCAUGAAGUCGGAAAAUCGCUAGUAAUCGCGCAUCAGGCACGGCGCGGUGAAUACGUUCCCGGGCCUUGUACACACCGCCCGUCACACCAUGGGAGUUGGUUUUACCCGAAGCCGGUGCGCUAACCGCAAGGAGGCAGCCGACCACGGUAAGGUCAGCGACUGGGGGU
rnacentral:rRNA from 1 species